AUUGAACGCUGGCGGCAGGCCUAACACAUGCAAGUCGAGCGAGUGGCGGACGGGUGAGUAAUGUCUGGGAAACUUCCCGAUGGAGGGGGAUAACUUCUGGAAACGGUAGCUAAUACCCCAUACUAUCUGAUUUGCCCAGAUGGGAUUAGCGUGUGGGUGGGGUAAUGGCUCACCUAGGCGACGAUCCCUAGCUGGUCUGCGAGGAUGACCAGCCACACUGGAACUGAGACACGGUCCAGACUCCUACGGGAGGCAGCAGUGGGGAAUAUUGCGCAAUGGGCGAAAGCCUGAUGCAGCCAUGCCGCGUGUGUGAAGAAGGCCUUCGGGUUGUAAAGCACUUUCAGCAGGGAGGCGUGUACCGAAGAAGAAACACAGGCUAACUCCGUGCCAGCAGCCGCGGUAAUAC
rnacentral:rRNA from 1 species